rnacentral:rRNA from 1 species
UAGGGAAUAUUGCAAAUGGGCGAAAGCCUGAUGUAGCAACGCCGCGUGCGCGAUGAAGGUCUUCGGAUUGUAAAGCACUUUUUGGAGGGAUGAGGAAGGACAGUACCUCCAGAAUAAGCCUCGGCUAACUACGUGCCAGCAGCCGCGGUAACACGUAGGAGGCAAGCGUUAUUCGGAUUUACUGGGCGUAAAGCGCGUGCAGGCGGUUUGGAAAGUUGGAUGUGAAAGCUCCUGGCUCAACUGGGAGAGGUCGUUCAAUACUUCCAGACUUGAGAGUGGUAGAGGGGGGUGGAAUUCCGGGUGUAGUGGUGAAAUGCGUAGAUAUCCGGAGGAACACCAGUGGCGAAAGCGGCCUCCUGGACCACUUCUGACGCUCAGACGCGAAAGCUAGGGUAGCAAACGG